AAAAUUUGAAUUUGCGCGUGCGAGGUUUUAUAUAUUGAAUUAUUUCAUUUCAAUGCCGUCAAAUACUAGUUAAAAUCAACAAUUCAAAUUUUGAAUAAACACAUUAUAGUAAAUACUGGAUUUCACUUGUUUGACAAAUACGGUGGCUCACAAGGGUCACCACAAAAGAAAUAAAAAUGCACACACAAAUAAAAAAUUAAAACCAUGUGUAACAAAUAAAAACCCACACAAAUAAAAAAAAUGUACAAAAUAAACCUUUGUCCAUCACAAUUAAAAGUAUUACUUGCGAAUUAUAAAACAAAUGUAUGCAAAGAAAAUUAUAGGGCACACACAAACAAAAAAGAACACACACAUAAAAAAAGUGAAGGCACACAAAUAACAAAAAUGAACACACACAAACAAAAACGAACACAGAAAUAAAAAAAGUGAACACACAAAUAAAAAAGAGUGAACACACAAAUAAAAAAGAGUGAACACACAAAUAAAAAAGUGAACACACAAAUAAAAAAAUUGAAUACACACAAACAAAAAAGAACACACAAAUAAAAAAAUGAAACUGUGCACACGCAUGACGUCACAUGUAUGAACCACUGAGCUAUAUAUAAUUGGAGCUAUAUAUUUG